CCCCUUUUAGGGUCACACCUGUAGAGUUUCCAGUACUCUACCAGUUUUGACUAUGGGAGGGAGAGUCAAGCAGAGGCAUAUCCAUUCCAUUACUAGCUUGGGCAGUAGCUAGUGAGUGGAAGGCAAUCUGCUACAAGU
rfam:Ornithorhynchus anatinus chromosome 12, whole genome shotgun sequence.